rnacentral:rRNA from 1 species
GAUGAACGCUGGCGGCGUGCCUAAUACAUGCAAGUCGAGCGAACAGACGAGGAGCUUGCUCCUCUGACGUUAGCGGCGGACGGGUGAGUAACACGUGGAUAACCUACCUAUAAGACUGGGAUAACUUCGGGAAACCGGAGCUAAUACCGGAUAAUAUAUUGAACCGCAUGGUUCAAUAGUGAAAGACGGUUUUGCUGUCACUUAUAGAUGGAUCCGCGCCGCAUUAGCUAGUUGGUAAGGUAACGGCUUACCAAGGCAACGAUGCGUAGCCGACCUGAGAGGGUGAUCGGCCACACUGGAACUGAGACACGGUCCAGACUCCUACGGGAGGCAGCAGUAAGGAAUCUUCCGCAAUGGGCGCAAGCCUGACGGAGCAACGCCGCGUGAGUGAUGAAGGUCUUCGGAUCGUAAAACUCUGUUAUUAGGGAAGAACAAAUGUGUAAGUAACUAUGCACGUCUUGACGGUACCUAAUCAGAAAGCCACGCCUAACUACGUG